GUCAGGGUUAGGUCAGUGUUUGGUAAGGUUGGGGUCAGGGUUAGGAUUGAGAGUCAGCACUAGGUCAAUGUUUGGUCAGAGUAGAGCUGGAGUCAGGGUUAGGUCAGUGUUUGGUAAGGUAAGAGUCAGGGUUAGGACUGAGAGUCAGCACUAGGUCAAUGUUUGGUCAGAGUAGAGCUGGAGUCAGGGUUAGGUCAGUGUUUGGUAAGGUUGGGGUCAGGGUUAGGAUUGAGAGUCAGCACUAGGUCAAUGUUGGGUCUGGAAGAGCUGGAGUCAGGGUUAGGUCAGAGUUAGGACAGUGUUGGCUAAGGUCAGAAUGGGGUCAGAGUUAGGACAGUGUUGGGUGAAGGUCAGAAUGGGGUCAGAGUUAGGACAGUGUUGGGUAAGGGUCAGAAUAGGGUCAGAGUUAGGACAGUGUUGGGUACGGGGCCGGAAUGGGGUCAGAGUUAGGAUAGUGUUGGGUAAGGGUCAGAAUGGGGUCUGGGUUAUAUUUUAUCUCAUAUAUUUGUACUUUCAGCCAGUAGACUUAAUAUUAAACGUAAUAUUUUGCAGACACGAUGCUUUGCUUUAUCAAUAAUACACAUAGACAGUUUAACAAGUAUAUGUUUAAAUAUACAAUAUCCACUCACUAAAAUAAGAAAAAAAUCACUGGCAUAAAAAAUAAUGGUUGCUAUAAAAACUCAACAUGGUAGGUGUGGACCUAUAGACAGGCUCUCAGAGGAUACUUUCUGGGUAGUGCUCCUCUUGGUGAAAGACUGUUGACUUCUAAACAUGUCUCUACUACAUAAACACGUUUUGUCCAGUAGACAUACUC